CACUUGAGUACAUUGCACCAACACAGCAAAUAUCAGACUUGCCUAGAUUUAAUCUUUACACCUCAAAUAUUAUUUACAUCGGAGUUGCAUCGUAAAUUGUACUUGGAUUCAAACAACACAAUGUCAAUGACUUUAUAAAAGUAAAAGCAUAUUGUGUAUUGGCCUAUUGGGGUUACACAUUUUACAGGUUCAUUUAACUUUAAGUCUUUAACUCUCUCAAGUCUCAACAGACAAUCGGACAUG